CUUGUUUGUGUCAGCAUGUGUUGUUAAAGUUGCAGAUUUUUCUAAUUUUUUGGGAACGUUUUGACACAUCUUGUUUUUUUAAAGUUCGCUUUUUUGACAAAAAAAUAAAUAAUAACUUUGAAGGCACUAUUUUUAUUUAAGCAAAACAACUGAACACAAUUAACAUGAGUAAAUAUUUGUAAAAUCUAUUUAUAGGAUCACACAUAUGUACGUACAGUAUAACCCCAACACUACCGGGUAUUAAUAAAACUCUAAGGGCGAUAUGUAUAUAAAAUAUUACACCAAUACCAAAAAGCAGUGUUGAUAAAAAGUAAAUAAGCUUUAAACAUGUAGAUGGCUCAGUAAAGAAAUGUUCAAAAUAAAUGGUAAAAUUACAACCUUUCUUGACCAGUCAUAAUAAAUGAUUUUCUUACUCUUUGCAAUGCUACAAAUCUUCGAAAAAAUACAUAAGGUUUAUAAAUAACAUCUUCUAUUUCCUUGUCCUUUCAAUUGACAAAACAUCUGAUUUUCACUUACAAACACCAUAAACUUAAUUUAAUCUUAAGGGCACUUAUUUUGAACACCGUUACCAUAUUAUACUUUAAUAGCCUAAUGCAAACUUAAAAUAACAAUCUGUAGAAGGAGAAAGUCAACCUUCGCCCAAACUAUAGGUAGAGCAAAAGAGACAGGAUGUACAUGAGAAGAACAAAUGCAAAAUACUUCAAUUAGAACAUUAGAACAUUAUAACCUAUAGCUAUUAUGUAUAAAUCUGCAAAUAUUGAUACAGUUGGCGAUGAAUCUGUGAGACUAUUUAUUUCAAAAAGAAAACAAUUGAUUUAUGCAUUAUUCAGACUGUUUUAACAAAUACAUGUAUCAUAUAUUUGUGUUUGUUCAAAUCAAAUUUUCAAUCUAGCUAUUUAAGGGGAGAUAACUUAAUUGUAUUUUUUUUAUUGAAGGAAUGAUAAACAAUUUUAAUAUUAGUAAGAAAACAAGUACAGUGACACAAUUUUUUCUUUUUCUUUUCUCAUAGAUUUUCAUAUGUUCACAAAAAAGUGUUUUUCAUGAAUAAUCUAUACAAUUUGAUGCAGUUUUGCACACCUUGUACCCAUACUUCGAAUUAUAAUUUAAAAAAAAACAUUGGUAAAUCUGCAUUUUAGCAAUUAGAUAAGAAUUUUCUAUAUGAGGAAAGAUAUGCAGAUGUUACACCUUAAUUUAUGUUUUUGAUAGGAAGAUCUUAUAUAACAUUUGUGUUUUUUUUAUUCUGUUCUCUUCUGGUAUAUACCUCGGUUUUAUUGGAGCACUCCACUAGUUGAAUAAGUAUUAAAAUUUUAAAUACUUAACUGAAAAAGCGGAUAAUUUCGAAUUAAGAAUAUAAAAAAUAUAAUUCCAAAAUAAAAUUAGUUAGUUAAAGUGAAUUAAAUAAAGCUUUAAAAUGUCUUUGAUAAUAUAUUAAAAUAUAUUAUUUCUUACAUUAUUUUCUAAAAAGCUCUUUUUACAAAGUAAUUCUGUAUUAGCUUUGUUAUUAUAAUUGAUAGAAGUUAUCUCCCUUCCUGAAAAGUAAUACAAGCAUCCUGUAAUGCCAAAUCUAAGGUGAAAAUAUGCCCGUAUUUGUAAACAACUAACUUCCAGUGUUUUCCCUAUAGCACAGCAUCCAAUUUUAAGGGAGUUCGCUUCUCAGUUUCAAAGUAAUUAACUUUUCAAAACAAUAGUUUAUAUAGAUACGGGAUUAAUAAAGGAUUCCAAAGAGCAAAAAAAUAUAUAGGUCACCGUGCUUGUUUUUCGAGAUAUAAGUCAUUGAAAUUUUGGCGGGAAAAUAUUCUCUCUUGACUUUUCAUAGCUUUAUCAUUGACAAGUUGAAGUUCUCAAAAACUGUAAAAAAGUAUUAAAAUUUUAUAAAGACUUUUACAGAUGGCUUUCAUUAUACAUGUAAAAGAUUUACAAAAAGAAAAAUGGGGGUCACCAGGCAAAUUUUUUCAAGGCAUUCAAAUGGAUAAAAGCAGAGGAUUCCAAAAAUCUGACAAAAAAUCUAAAACAAGACAAGCCAGCUUCCUUAAUCAGCAUUAUGCUCUAUAUUUUUGUUUAAAUUUUAACAUUAUGCCGCUAUUACAAUACCAAUAAAAUUAAAUAUACAUUAUGCCACUAAUACAAUACCAAUAUAAUUUGAUAAUAUAAAAAAAUAAACAUAAAGAAAGUGUAAACAUGAGAGACAGAAAUAUAAAUAGAAAGCCCUUUACAAUGUGCAUAAUAUAACAAUACAAAGUGAAAUAUUAUAUCAUAAAAUAAAUAAAUUACAACACUAAUAGUAAUUACAUUUGUACUAACAAC
rnacentral:lncRNA from 1 species